rnacentral:rRNA from 1 species
UUGUUGGUAAGGUAAAAGCUUACCAAGGCUUCGAUCAGUAGCUGGUCUGAGAGGACGACCAGCCACACUGGGACUGAGACACGGCCCAGACUCCUACGGGAGGCAGCAGUGGGGAAUUUUGGACAAUGGGGGCAACCCUGAUCCAGCCAUGCCGCGUGAGUGAAGAAGGCCUUCGGGUUGUAAAGCUCUUUCAGCCGGAACGAAACGGUUACGGAUAACACCCGUGACUACUGACGGUACCGGAAGAAGAAGCACCGGCUAACUACGUGCCAGCAGCCGCGGUAAUACGUAGGGUGCGAGCGUUAAUCGGAAUUACUGGGCGUAAAGCGUGCGCAGGUGGUUUUGUAAGUCAGAUGUGAAAGCCCUGGGCUCAACCUGGGAACUGCGUUUGAAACUACAAGACUAGAGUGUGGCAGAGGGGGGUGGAAUUCCGCGUGUAGCAGUGAAAUGCGUAGAGAUGUGGAGGAACACCGAUGGCGAAGGCAGCCCCCUGGGUCAACACUGACGCUCAGGCACGAAAGCAUGGGGAGCAAACAGGAUUAGAUACCCUGGUAGUCCAUGCCCUAAACGAUGUCAACUAGUUGUCGGGCCUUUACGGGCUUGGUAACGUAGCUAACGCGUGAAGUUGACCGCCUGGGGAGUACGAUCGCAAGAUUAAAACUCAAAUGAAUUGACGGGGACCCGCACAAGCGGUGGAUUAUGUGGAUUAAUUCGAUGCAACGCGAAAAACCUUACCUACCCUUGACAUGUAUCGAAGCCCGCAGAAAAGCGGGGGUGCCCGAAAGGGAACGAUAACACAGGUGCUGCAUGGCUGUCGUCAGCUCGUGUCGUGAGAUGUUGGGUUAAGUCCCGCAACGAGCGCAACCCUUGUCAUUAAUUGCCAUCAUUUAGUUGGGCACUUUAAUGAGACUGCCGG